rnacentral:rRNA from 1 species
ACGGUGAGUAAUACAUCGGAACGUGUCUUCUAGUGGGGGAUAACUGCCCGAAAGGGCAGCUAAUACCGCAUGAGACCUGAGGGUGAAAGCGGGGGACCGCAAGACCUCGCGCUGGAAGAGCGGCCGAUGUCCGAUUAGCUAGUUGGUGAGGUAAAGGCUCACCAAGGCGACGAUCGGUAGCUGGUCUGAGAGGACGACCAGCCACACUGGGACUGAGACACGGCCCAG